rnacentral:tRNA from 2 species
UGCGGGUUGGUGUAAUGGCAGCAUACUAGACUCAUGAUCUAGACGUGGUAGUUCAAAUCUAUCACCCGCAC